AACGAACGCUGGCGGCGCGCCUAAUACAUGCAAGUCGAACGAGAAGGUGUAGCAAUACACUUGUACAGUGGCGAACGGGUGAGGAAUGCAUGGGCAACCUACCCUCGAGUGGGGAAUAACCAGCCGAAAGGUUGGCUAAUACCGCGUACGCUUCCGGGUCUCCGGAUCCGGAAGGAAAGUCACACCGUGGGUGUGACGCUCAAGGAUGGGCUCAUGUCCUAUCAGCUUGUUGGGAGGUACGGCUCACCAAGGCAACGACGGGUAGCUGGUCUGAGAGGACGAUCAGCCACACUGGCACUGCGACGACGGGCC
rnacentral:rRNA from 1 species